rnacentral:misc_RNA from 1 species
GAUGAAGAACGCAGCGAAAUGCGAUAAGUAAUGUGAAUUGCAGAAUUCAGUGAAUCAUCGAAUCUUUGAACGCACAUUGCGCCCGCUAGUAUUCUGGCGGGCAUGCCUGUCCGAGCGUCAUUUCAACCCUCAAGCCCCCGGGCUUGGUGUUGGGGAUCGGCGAGCCUCCGCGCCCGCCGUCCCCUAAAUCUAGUGGCGGUCUCGCUGUAGCUUCCUCUGCGUAGUAGCACACCUCGCACUGGGAAACAGCGCGGCCACGCCGUUAAACCCCCAACUUCUGAACGUUUGACCUCGGAUCUGGUAGGAAUACCCGCUGAACUUAAGCAUAUCAAUAAGCGGAGGA